rnacentral:misc_RNA from 1 species
GAAAUGCGAUAAGUAAUGUGAAUUGCAGAAUUCAGUGAAUCAUUGAAUCUUUGAACACACAUUGCGCCCGCCAGUAUUCUGGCGGGCAUGCCUGUUCGAGCGUCAUUACAACCCUCAGGCCCCCGGGCCUGGCGUUGGGGAUCGGCGGAAGCCCCCUGCGGGCACAACGCCGUCCCCCAAAUACAGUGGCGGUCCCGCCGCAGCUUCCAUUGCGUAGUAGCUAACACCUCGCAACUGGAGAGCGGCGCGGCCACGCCGUAAAACACCCAACUUCUGAAUGUUGACCUCGAAUCAGGUAGGAAUACCCGCUGAACUUAAGC